rnacentral:rRNA from 1 species
AGUUCCUACGGGACGCAGCAGUGGGGAAUAUUGGGCAAUGGGCGCAAGCCUGACCCAGCAGUGCCGCGUGAAGGAAGAAGGCCUUCGGGUUGUAAACUUCUUUUAUCAGGGACGAAGGAUGUGACGGUACCUGAUGAAUAAGCUCCGGCUAACUACGUGCCAGCAGCCGCGGUAAUACGUAGGGGGCAAGCGUUAUCCGGAUUUACUGGGUGUAAAGGGCGCGUAGGCGGGAUGGCAAGUCAGAUGUGAAAUCCAAGGGCUCAACCCUUGAACUGCAUUGGAACCUACGGUGCUGGUGAAUGGGG